ensembl:lncRNA
AAGGGUCAGAGUCGCUUUUCGUUUGAAUUCAUACUUUCUGCAUCCUGCUUACUGCUCAUUGGCUGAAAACACAUCAUGGUUGGUAUUCAUAUACUUUGACCCGGACGCUGCUAGGAUCCUAAACAUCGGAGGCUUACCCUACCUCUGAUAUCUUUUAGACUUUAUUAUGGUAGUUCUUAAAAAUGAUUUACUAUAUUUUAUAUAAAAUGCCAAACAUUGUCACAGCUCUAGCAGGGCUUUGUGUCUCGUCGUACCCAUCUCGCCAGAGCACAGCUGGGGUUGAUAAAGCAAUCAGCCACCCAGAAGUACCAGUAUAUAAGCUGUCAGUGAGUGGCCCAGUCCUGGGUGGUGAGCUGGUUGGUGUUUCCUUUGAGCUGUUAGUGAGUAGCUGGUACCUGCCAGCAGCACAGCUUACCCUCUGGAUAUUUUAGUGUAAGGAUGACUUUGGUUGAACUAGCAGUGUGGAGGCCUCUUUGAGUCCCUUGAAUAAGACUUUGCUCUGCUCUUUUCAUCUCCUGGUCAUACUCCUCUCAUCGUCUAAUCCUUAUUCUCAGGCAUGUUUACCUAAAGCUUGAUGUGACAGAAUCAUGUACCAACCCAGGCCACAAGAUGGCAGCGUGAAGGCUGGAUGCACACUGACAGGCCAGGAGCUUUAUGACUGCUUUACUUUGGUACGUUUCAAUUAUGUCUAUUGUUAGAUUUGACAAGGCAAGCAGUGCUUGUCCUGAUUACUGUCUUUAUGGCAAGCUCUAAAGACACAAAAUAUGUUUACAGCCAAACAGGUAAGUUACAGUAAAAAAGGAGAAAAGCAGGCUGACGUCCGUCAGAGCAGACACAUGGUUUCAUGUUUACAGCUGUCCCCUGAUGUUCAUUUGUUUAAUUUGGCCUAAACGACAAAGACACGACACACAGUGCAGUGAAACUGUGGCUCAGUGUGUCACAGAUGGCAGCUCUAACCUGGAACUGGAAACACUUUCUAAGCACUGACCUGAGUUUGGGUCUGAGCUCCGUCUGCUGCAGCAGCAACACAAGGAGCUGCUGUUGGUCGUACCAAUCAGCACGGACACUGACCUUAGGUGGGACCUGCUGGAGGGCUGCUCACCUCUGAUUGGUUAUAGCUGCUAACUAUAUUGAGGUUAUAUUGAACAGCUGGUGUACACAUUUGAAAGCACGUACUGCUUCAGUGAUCUUCUCGUGUGAAACAUUCAAAACUGAUCAAACGUAAGGAUUAGAAGUGAAGAUUCAGUUUUAUUUGUACAGGACAAAAUAACAACAACAGUUGUCUCAAGACCCCACAAUGAUAGGUUUCCAGGACAUAGACCAAGCCGAGUCGAUUUCACUUUGAGUUUACUGAAAUUGAAGUCCUCGGCUCUGAAUUUUGAUCUGAAUUUUCUAAAUGUUUCUAGAUUAGGUUGAUAAAUGUGUGGUAGACGGGUCUCUGUGUCAGAAGUCUCUAGGCUGUCAUGUGUUUAUCUGUGCUUUGGAUUCAUUCAGAGACCACCUGCUGACUCCUGAGCAAAGAACAUAUCACAAAGUGUUCACUCAGGCCUGAAAGAAAUCCUCAUUUUUAAAUAGGUUUUUGAAAUGUUUUUGUUUAGUUCUGGUUUUAUUUUUAAUUCAUUUAUUCAUUUUGUUUCAGACUGUCUCCCGUUGUUGUUGCUGUUAACAUGUUAAAGUCAGUGUGCUUUAAACAAGCAGGAUGUGGUGCUUGUGAUGGUUUAAAAGAGGGUUCCAGCAUUAGAGUAAUUCUCUGUUUAAAGCAUGUUGAGGCCUGAAGUGUCCGAACCAAACACAACCUUAAAUUUCUCUUUGUGCUCAGGGCCUCAUAGUUUGGGUGAUAUGAGGCCCUAGUGAUGGGUGAUAACAUGAUUAAAGCAUUUUAUUGAGGGGAAAAAUGUCGACAUUCACACUCCAAUCGAUGCAACAUGGGGUCAGUAUCAUGCCUCCACCUCCGGAGCUACAGCCACCCUGUAAAAAAAAUAAAUAAAUAAAAAUAAACCCUGAAGCCGUGAACAAACUCAUCAUAGCCAAAAACACCUGCAGGGUGUAAAAGUAAAGCUGAGCUUCAUUCAUGUAACAAGAAUCGUUGAGGAAAUUUAGAGCAUUAAAUAAAAGAAGUCAACUGACA